rnacentral:rRNA from 1 species
AAGGCUUGACAUGGGGAAGACUGGACGAGAGAUCGUCCUUCUCUAGCAAUAGAGCUUCCCACACAGGUGCUGCAUGGCUGUCGUCAGCUCGUGUCGUGAGAUGUUGGGUUAAGUCCCGCAACGAGCGCAACCCCCGUUUCUAGUUGCCAUCAUUCAGUUGGGCCCUCUAGAGAGACUGCCGCGAAUAACGCGGAGGAAGGUGGGACGACGUCAAGUCAUCAUGGU